rnacentral:rRNA from 1 species
UACGUAGGGGGCAAGCGUUGUCCGGAUUUAUUGGGCGUAAAGAGCGUGUAGGCGGUUUGGUAGGUCCGUUGUGAAAACUCGAGGCUCAACCUCGAGACGCCGAUGGAAACCAUCAGACUAGAGUCCGGAAGAGGAGAGUGGAAUUCCUGGUGUAGCAGUGAAAUGCGUAGAUAUCAAGUGGAACACCAGUGGCGAAGGCGAGUCUCUGGACAUUUCCUGACGCUGAGGCACGAAAGCCAGGGGAGCAAACGGG